AAGAUGUGUUGCAGGUUGCCCUUCAGACGCGCUCCGGUGGGUGCUUGAGACGGUGGUGUUCUGGUGGUAGUGCAGGGAAUCGUGUCGGUGAUUCGAGAAAAGUGAAUCGUCGAUCUUUCAAAUCCACAACUACAACCUUCAACACUCGACACCAUAAAGCAUAAAAAAGAUAAAAAAAAAUCUCAACCAGACGUCAUCGCGUUCCUGUUCCUUUUGUUUUGGACACGAAGAUGAAAGACGCAACCAAACUUUCCGACGCCAAGAAAAUAUUUUUAGUCUUCCAUGAGAUGCUGGGUUUAACCGGGUGUAUGAUGCAGGACAUAAGAAGUAUCUUGCCAAUAGGAGGCUUAAUCAGGUGCCUAUUUAUCUCUUCGUCAUCCACUUCGACUCCUACAUGACGCAAGGUAAGUGUUUAAAUUUCAAAACUUAAGUUUCAGUAACCGUAAAUGACAAUACAAUAUUUGUCAAUGAUUUUAAACACAUUAAUAGAUUGUAGUAAAAAUCCAGCUCUUGAUUCAAGAAAAGUGAAAGAAGUUAACUCAAUACGUUGUCUUAUAUUCUUCCUUUCUCUAGUUAGUGAAAAAAGUUGGUAUACGUUUCAUAAGUCAAGUCAUUUCUCAUGCAAGAAAUGCAGAGGAAAGCCGAAGAUGAAUUUCGUCGUUCUCUUGAGACCAAACAACAAUACACCACGCCUGAGAACCACGCUGAAGCAUUCAUUUGUAUAUUAGGACUGUUAACUUGCUAAGCCAUGUGUACUGGUAUGCAACAUCGGUGGUUUUACGCUACAAUCACUAUGUGACUGAAGAUGAGGGACAAAAGAAGUACUUCUGAGAGUUUGCCAAAAGAGCCAUGGCAGACGCUGGGUGGUGACACUGAGAAACAUGAAUUGGAAAACAAACGAACCCGAGGAAACGAGAGAUGUCACCAGCCAGCUUGUCAAGAAGUGUGGAGAAGAACCAUGGUAGUCGCAGGACCUUGCUGACGAGCUGGAGCAGAACAAAACAUAUAGCAGUCAGAUUGAGGCAGUUGAAGAGAUCGCUGCCUUGAAUAUGACUAAAUUUAUCACAUGACCUGGCAGCAGACGCAAGAAAGUACACAUGCUAUUAUUUAUUGUUCGAAAUUUCGUACAUGGAAGGAAAAGCGUAUUCACACUUUCAUUAUAUCAAAACAGUAUUUCACUUGACCAGAUUACUGUAUAUAGUACUUGAUAAUACAAAAUCGAAGAUAUUUUAUACUGAACCCACGAUAUAUUUUAUAAUUUUAUGUGCUUGUGACCAAUACUCCUUUGUGAUAUACUGUCUAUAUUAUCAAAAUAUAUAUUUUUUAAAUUUUCCUCAAUACGUUGUUAUAUAAUAAGCCCAGAUUAAUGAGUUAAUUAUGAGAUCUUAAAUAGAUAAAAGAAUGUUGAGAGAGAGAGUGAGAGAGACCCCAAAAUAUACUUAAUUGAUGUAAUAUAUUUUUUUAGUGUUAGGGCUACCAAUGAAAAAUAUUAAAACGCACUAAAUCUCUA